GAACUUUUCGAGACUAUCAGAAGACGGCUAUUGAGAAGAUUCUAGAGAAAAAGGACUGCUUGGUGGUCAUGGCCACUGGCAGCGGCAAGUCCUUGUGAACUUUCUUGUGGACAUAAAAAGGACCUAGAUUGGCAUUUUUGCCUGUGCUUGCAUUUGAAGGAGGAACUAGAAAAAACAUACUGAGGUUUGAGGGAGAGAAGGCUGAGAGGUUCUAAACUCAAAGUUGCUUCCUUGAGGUCUUCCUGUUAGGCUUUCAGUCAACGUAUCCACCUCAACAACACAGGCUCUUAGCUCCAUUGGAUACAGCUUUGGCUCAACUUGUUGUGGACUAGGAUCUCCAUACAGUUUCAUAUUACAGGGAGAAUUCAAAAAGACACAUUUUGAAAGAGAUUAAAGGGUGCUCUACAAUUAAUCCACCCUCUCACAAAUCACAAUUAGGGAGAAUUCAAAAAGACACAUUUCGAAAGAGAUUACAUGGUGCUCUACAAUUAAUCCACCCUCUCACAAAUCACAAUUAGGUUACUCCAUAGAAAAUGUGAGUUAAUUUUUAGGAUUAUGCUAAAUUUUCCUACAACUUUGUUUUACAAUAUCCAAAAAAAAAAAAAAACUCCUCAUUCAAAAUGUAUCGGUAAUUGGUUUUCCUAUAUAACCCAACUACUUGAACUGAUUGUUAAAGUAAAUUUAUUAAGAUCAUCGACAUAUAUGGCUAACUUUUCUAGAA